GAGUGGCGAACGGGUGAGUAAUACAUCGGAACGUGUCCGCUCGUGGGGGACAACCAGCCGAAAGGUUGGCUAAUACCGCAUGAGUUCUACGGAAGAAAGAGGGGGACCCGCAAGGGCCUCUCGCGAGCGGAGCGGCCGAUGACUGAUUAGCCGGUUGGUGAGGUAACGGCUCACCAAAGCAACGAUCAGUAGCUGGUCUGAGAGGACGACCAGCCACACUGGGACUGAGACACGGCCCAGACUCCUACGGGAGGCAGCAGUGGGGAAUUUUGGACAAUGGGCGCAAGCCUGAUCCAGCUAUUCCGCGUGUGGGAUGAAGGCCCUCGGGUUGUAAACCACUUUUGUAGAGAACGAAAAGACACCUUCGAAUAAAGGGUGUUGCUGACGGUACUCUAAGAAUAAGCACCGGCUAACUACGUGCCAGCAGCCGCGGUAAUACGUAGGGUGCGAGCGUUAAUCGGAAUUACUGGGCGUAAAGGGUGCGCAGGCGGUUGAGUAAGACAGAUGUGAAAUCCCCGAGCUUAACUCGGGAAUGGCAUAUGUGACUGCUCGGCUAGAGUGUGUCAGAGGGAGGUGGAAUUCCACGUGUAGCAGUGAAAUGCGUAGAUAUGUGGAAGAACACCGAUGGCGAAGGCAGCCUCCUGGGACAUAACUGACGCUCAGGCACGAAAGCGUGGGGAGCAAACAGGAUUAGAUACCCCGGUAGUCCACGCCCUAAACGAUGUUAACUAGUUGUUGGGAAGUAAUAUUCUCAGU
rnacentral:rRNA from 1 species